CAAAGCAGAGACUGAAUCACCUCUACCGGUCCUCACUGGGAAAGGCCUGGAGACCGGAUUUGGGGCUUCCGGAGAGCCCCCAAGGUCCCCUGCCCGAGCCCCUCCCCGGCCCGCAGCAGCCUGAGCAUUUAUGCUGUGGAUGCUCUAGCUUCUGGCAUCUCAGAGAAACGGAGAGGCCCGUCUCAGACACCCUCCACCUCCUGCUCCUUCACCCUGUGCUGCCAUCAUUGUGCUUCCUCCUGCCUCCAGUCCCCUCUGAAGCCUCUCCAAGGACUUGACCUCUUUGGUUUGGAAUCCUAGCGGGCGCCACUCAAUGAAGCCUUCUUGAGGGGAAACUGAGUCCCAGGUUGGGUUCAGUGAUUGAAGCCAGAAGCAGCAGAAACCUCAAGAUCCAGGCUCGGUGGGACAACUGUGCCAACCUCGGGCCUGUGAAUUCAGCCCCUCCCUGCUUCCUCUGG